GUCUCACUGGCAUGACCUCAUCACAGUCCUAAAACUAUUACCCAGACCUAUGGGGUUCAUUAUAAUCUUAAAAAUAAAAAGAUGCAGCAUAUAAUGAAUCAAAAAUAUCUAUUUUAUUAAUAAUAUAAAUAUCAAGUACAUGAGUCUGAAAGAUAAAUUACAGAAAAUAUCCUCUUACAUCUCGUAUGCGAUUGGCUUAUAGGACAUUAUUCUUUCAGCCCAUAGUUUACUAAAUUGAAAUACAGUGAUGCAUUAUCUCCUAUAAUUUGAAGAGAUCAAUCCCAU
rnacentral:lncRNA from 1 species